UCAGGUUCGAGUGCUGUCUCAAGUAUCUCUUCUUGAGGUGCAAGGAAUGCAUCUUCCUGAGUUUAGCGUCUUUGGUGCCUAUUUCUGACUCUCACAGCUGUACUUGGAGCAUAAUCUGGCCUAUAGUAAAUAUUUUAAAGUUUAUCCUGGAAGAUGAGCUUCAUCAAAUAGAUGCAUAUUCUGUAGAAGAGAGAAUGCCUUUUGUUAGACAUCUGAACGAAGUGCAGAGGAUCAUCUCUCCACAAUUAGAAAUCUUUACAAAAUGCACUGUACCUUUAAUUCAAGAUGACUACACCAAGGGUGAUUGUAGAGAGAAGCAGUUUUACCAACAGAUGCAGAAAGAAUCAGACACCUUCUGACUGCCAUAGCUGCCACCAGCAAGGAGGAAAAGACUCUCAGAUGCAAAGGAAAAUCCUCGACCUCUUCUUUUAGCACCUGUUAAAAGGUUUGGACUUCUGGGAUGUUCUUCAAAUCAACCUGCAGAAUGGCCACAGCUUGGAGGGAGACCUGCCCUUUUGCCACCAGGUGAGUGACAAAGACCUGUAGCUGUUUGGUUUAAUAACUGUAAAUCAUUUCUGCUUAGAACCUGAUGCUGACAACUACACAGCUACUCUAGCUUGAGAACUUAAAUCAUUUAAAUAAUGAUUUAAAGGAAUUUUCAUUUAAAUAGUGAAAACAGCAGCCAUGUCAGCCUGAAAAGUACUGUUUCUAUAUUGAAAAUAAUUCCUUCCUUCCCUUCCUUCCCUUCCACCCUCCCUUCCUCCCAUCCCUGCCCCUUAUUCAAAAAUUCACCACCAUGUGUUUAUGCUAGAAGGGACUAGCAUAACCAUGCUUUCAGGCCAAAGACCUUUCACUGAUGAAAGAGGGGAUUGAUUUUUAGAUGUAAGCAUAUAUGGGAAGGAUUACCAAAUCCUAAAACUGCCUUACAGUGUUUGUUGUUUUUUGUCACAGCCAUUUGUGUUAAACCACUGCAGCACCAAUGGGGAGCUUCAGCUAAGAAGACACUGACAGCACUGAGAACGUGGAAGUCCUGUAACCACCAUCACACCCUCUGUCACCUGCGAGAAAUGAAAAAUUGAAGAAGGCUUGUCCUUUAAAACAAAUGCUCAUGAAUGUCACUGCUGCACCUUUGUGAUUUUAAAUUCAAGUUGUAAACAGUCACAGAAUAAAGUUGUGUGUUUUACUCA
rnacentral:lncRNA from 1 species